rnacentral:rRNA from 1 species
CAAUAUUUUUGGUGACUCAUAAUAACUUUACGGAUCACAUUAUGUGACAUAUCAUUCAAGUUUCUGACCUAUCAGCUUUAGACGGUAGGGUAUUGGCCUACCGUGGCUAUGACGGGUAACGGGGAAUUAGGGUUCGAUUCCGGAGAGGGAGCCUGAGAAACGGCUACCACAUCUAAGGAAGGCAGCAGGCGCGCAAAUUACCCAAUCCUAAUACAGGGAGGUAGUGACAAGAAAUAACAAUACAGGACCUUACGGUUUUGUAAUUGGAAUGAGUUAAGUAUAAACCCCUUAACAAGUAUCAAUUGGAGGGCAAGUCUGGUGCCAGCAGCCGCGGUAAUUCCAGCUCCAAUAGCGUAUAUUAAAGUUGUUGCAGUUAAAAAGCUCGUAGUUAAUUUUCUGUUAAUUUUUAUAUACAAUACUACGGUAUUUAUAUAAUAUUAACAUAAUUCAUAUUACUUUUUAGUAUAUGAAACUUUACUUUGAGAAAAUUAGAGUGCUUAAAGCAGGCUAUUGCCUUGAAUACUCCAGCAUGGAAUAAUAUUAAGGAUUUUUAUUCUUCUUAUUGGUUCUAGAAUAAAAAUAAUGAUUAAUAGGGACAGUUGGGGGCAUUUGUAUUUAACAGUCAGAGGUGAAAUUCUUAGAUUUGUUAAAGACAAACUACUGCGAAAGCAUUUGCCAAGGAUGUUUUCAUUAAUCAAGAACGAAAGUUAGGGGAUCGAAGACGAUCAGAUACCGUCGUAGUCUUAACCAUAAACUAUGCCAACUAGAGAU